CGAAGAAAAAGCCCUUGAAUUGCCAAGCGAUCCGGCCGCGUGGAGGGGACUGAACGGCCUUCCGGGGUUGUAAAACCUCCUUCAGCAAGGGAAAGAAAGCGAAAAGUGACCGGUACCCUGCCAGGAAGAAGCGCCCGGCUAACUACGUGCCAGCAGCCCGCGGGUAAUACGUAGGGCGCGAGCGUUGUCCGGAAUUAUUGGGCGUAAAGAGCUUCGUAGGCGGGCUUGUCGCGUCGGUUGUGAAAGCCCGGGGCUUAACCCCCGGGUCUGCAGUCGAUACGGGCAGGCUAGAGUUCGGUAGGGGAGAUCGGAAUUCCUGGUGUAGCGGUGAAAUGCGCAGAUAUCAGGAGGAACACCGGUGGCGAAGGCGGAUCUCUGGGCCGAUACUGACGCUGAGGAGCGAAAGCGUGGGGAGCGAACAGGAUUAGAUACCCUGGUAGUCCACGCCGUAAACGGUGGGCACUAGGUGUGGGCGACAUUCCACGUCGUCCGUGCCGCAGCUAACGCAUUAAGUGCCCCGCCUGGGGAGUACGGCCGCAAGGCUAAAACUCAAAGGAAUUGACGGGGGCCCGCACAAGCGGCGGAGCAUGUGGCUUAAUUCGACGCAACGCGAAGAACCUUACCAAGGCUUGACAUACACCGGAAACGUCUGGAGACAGGCGCCCCCUUGUGGUCGGUGUACAGGUGGUGCAUGGCUGUCGUCAGCUCGUGUCGUGAGAUGUUGGGUUAAGUCCCGCAACGAGCGCAACCCUUGUCCCGUGUUGCCAGCAGGCCCUUGUGGUGCUGGGGACUCACGGGAGACCGCCGGGGUCAACUCGGAGGAAGGUGGGGACGACGUCAAGUCAUCAUGCCCCUUAUGUCUUGGGCUGCACACGUGCUACAAUGGCCGGUACAAUGAGCUGCGAUACCGCGAGGUGGAGCGAAUCUCAAAAAGCCGGUCUCAGUUCGGAUUGGGGUCUGCAACUCGACCCCAUGAAGUCGGAGUCGCUAGUAAUCGCAGAUCAGCACUUGUUGCGUGUAUACGUUCCCGGGCCUUGUACACACCGCGGGUUCUCAAAGUCGGUAACACCCGAAGCCGGUGGCACGCAGAUCCGCUCAUGCUACAGAGCGAACGCUACAGUGAGCC
rnacentral:rRNA from 1 species